rnacentral:rRNA from 1 species
UACAGAGGGGGCAAGCGUUGUUCGGAAUUACUGGGCGUAAAGGGCGCGUAGGCGGCCUGCUAAGUCGAACGUGAAAUCCCUGGGCUCAACCCAGGAACUGCGUCCGAUACUGGUUGGCUUGAAUCCGGGAGAGGGAUGUGGAAUUCCAGGUGUAGCGGUGAAAUGCGUAGAUAUCUGGAGGAACACCGGUGGCGAAGGCGGCUCACUGGUCCGGUACUGACGCUGAGGUGCGAAAGCGUGGGGAGCAAACAGG